rnacentral:lncRNA from 1 species
GCCAGCCCCUUUCUGCCUUGGGCUCCUCAAAAUAUCCAAGUUCCAAGAGUUCAGAAGGCCACAGAAAACUUGCAGGACAGACUCACUGGUGAAGAGAGGCAGAGGUUCCGAUUCACAGUCUGACGUUGUGACUCACCUAGGGCCACACAUCAGUAGUGAGCAGAGGUGGAGGGACAUGUGUAUCCAGGGGGUCAGUUUUUCGCCCUUCCUCAGCCCCCUUGUGUGGCCCACACCCCAGGAAGUCAGAGGCAAAGGCAGCAGUCUAAAGAGAGGAGGCACCCGUGUUCUAGAAGGGCCCUGGCACCUGGAGAGUGACAUGUGAGUAGGAUCCAGAGGGUGGAAAUGCUGGCAUGUGGGGCGCCUGGAGGAGAGACACUCUGGUCGCACUGGCUCAGUAAGAGGGAGGCUCGUGGGGCCGAGGCGCAGCAGCCUGAGGCUCUCUCUGCUUGUAUUUGUCUUCAGCCAUGGGAGAGCUACCAUCUCACUGAGCUAUAGCCUUAGCUUUCCUCCCUCAAACCAGACCAGCAGCAGAAGCAACAGUAUAUAUGACACCCAGUACAGUUACACACACAUACACACACACACCACUUUCCCCGAAAUAAAUCUUCAUGUACUUCCCAUGUCCGUGCACAUACACCUCCAGGUACCUCCUGAGAUCAAAGACACACAGAUGUCAUAGUCUUUUGCAGAAACUCCUGUGAAGAAAUUCCUUCUGGUAUG